GCUACCGGUAAGCUCAGUGGUAAAAACGACACCAAAGAGUAUGUUUUUGUGCUCAUAGAAGCUUCGCUUCAUGACUCAGAGGUCCCGGGUUCGAUUCCCGGGUGGGACC
rnacentral:tRNA from 1 species